CCUACGGGUGGCAGCAGUGAGGAAUAUUGGUCAAUGGACGAGAGUCUGAACCAGCCAAGUAGCGUGAAGGAUGACUGCCCUAUGGGUUGUAAACUUCUUUUAUAUGGGAAUAAACCAGGGUAUGCAUACCCUCCUGUAUGUACCAUAUGAAUAAGGAUCGGCUAACUCCGUGCCAGCAGCCGCGGUAAUACGGAGGAUCCGAGCGUUAUCCGGAUUUAUUGGGGUUAAAGGGAGCGUAGGCGGGUGGUUAAGUCAGUUGUGAAAGUUUGCGGCUCAACCGUAAAAUUGCAGUUGAUACUGGCAGCCUUGAGUACAGUAGAGGUAGGCGGAAUUCGUGGUGUAGCGGUGAAAUGCUUAGAUAUCACGAAGAACUCCGAUUGCGAAGGCAGCUCACUGGACUGCAACUGACACUGAGGCUCGAAAGUGUGGGUAUCAAACAGGAUUAGAUACCCCUGUAGUC
rnacentral:rRNA from 1 species